ensembl:piRNA 21ur-3118 ncRNA
UGGAGAGAAUAUUAUAGAGAA